rnacentral:rRNA from 1 species
CGGCCGCGGUAUCCUGACCGUGCAAAGGUAGCAUAAUCACUUGUUCCUUAAUUAGGGACUAGCAUGAAUGGCCAAACGAGGAUUCAACUGUCUCUUAUUUUUAAUCAGUGAAAUUGACCUUUCAGUGAAGAGGCUGAAAUACUAAAAUAAGACGAGAAGACCCUAUGGAGCUUAAAUUAAAAGUUUAACUUUACUCCCAUAAACCUAAUGGUAUAACACAAAAAUUCUAAACUUUAAAUUUCGGUUGGGGUGACCUCGGAGAACAGAAAAUCCUCCGAAUGAUUUUAACAUAGACCAACAAGUCAAAGUAACCUAAAAAUCUUAUUGACCCAAAAAUUUUUUGAUCAACGGACCAAGUUACCCUAGGGAUAACAGCGCAAUCCUAUUUUAGAGUCCAUAUCGACAAUAGGGUUUACGACCUCGAUGUUGGAUCAGGACAUCCCAAUGGCGCA